rnacentral:rRNA from 1 species
AGUGAACGCUGGCGGUAGGCCUAACACAUGCAAGUCGAACGGCAGCACAGUAAGAGCUUGCUCUUACGGGUGGCGAGUGGCGGACGGGUGAGGAAUACAUCGGAAUCUACUUUUUCGUGGGGGAUAACGUAGGGAAACUUACGCUAAUACCGCAUACGACCUACGGGUGAAAGCAGGGGAUCUUCGGACCUUGCGCGAUUGAAUGAGCCGAUUUCGGAUUAGCUAGUUGGCUGGGUAAAGGCCCACCAAGGCGACGAUCCGUAGCUGGUCUGAGAGGAUGAUCGGCCACACUGGAACUGAGACACGGUCCAGACUCCUACGGGAGGCAGCAGUGGGGAAUAUUGGACAAUGGGCGCAAGCCUGAUCCAGCCAUACCGCGUGGGUGAAGAAGGCCUUCGGGUUGUAAAGCCCUUUUGUUGGGAAAGAAAAGCAGCAGGUUAAUACCCCGCUGUUCUGACGGUACCCAAAGAAUAAGCACCGGCUAACUUCGUG